rnacentral:rRNA from 1 species
AGUGAACGCUGGCGGUAGGCCUAACACAUGCAAGUCGAACGGCAGCACAGUAAGAGCUUGCUCUUACGGGUGGCGAGUGGCGGACGGGUGAGGAAUACAUCGGAAUCUACUUUUUCGUGGGGGAUAACGUAGGGAAACUUACGCUAAUACCGCAUACGACCUACGGGUGAAAGCAGGGGAUCUUCGGACCUUGCGCGAUUGAAUGAGCCGAUGUCGGAUUAGCUAGUUGGCGGGGUAAAGGCCCACCAAGGCGACGAUCCGUAGCUGGUCUGAGAGGAUGAACAGGCACACUGGAACUGAGACACGGUCCAGACUCCUACGGGAGGCAGCAGUGGGGAAUAUUGGACAAUGGGCGCAAGCCUGAUCCAGCCAUACCGCGUGGGUGAAGAAGGCCUUCGGGCUGUAAAGCCCUUUUGUUGGGAAAGAAAAGCAGCAGGUUAAUACCCCGCUGUUCUGACGGUACCCAAAGAAUAAGCACCGGCUAACUUCGUG